rnacentral:rRNA from 1 species
GAUGAACGCUGGCGGCGUGCUUAACACAUGCAAGUCGAACGGAGUUUAGCUGACGAAGCCCUCGGGCCAAGCAGCUGAACUUAGUGGCGGACGGGUGAGUAACGCGUGGGUAACCUGCCUAGUACUGGGGGAUAACAGCCGGAAACGGCUGCUAAUACCGCAUAAGCGCACGAGACUGCAUGGUCUGGUGUGAAAAACUCCGGUGGUACAAGAUGGACCCGCGUCUGAUUAGGUAGUUGGUAGGGUAACGGCCUACCAAGCCGACGAUCAGUAGCCGACCUGAGAGGGUGAUCGGCCACAUUGGGACUGAGACACGGCCCAAACUCCUACGGGAGGCAGCAGUGGGGAAUAUUGCACAAUGGGGGAAACCCUGAUGCAGCGACGCCGCGUGAAGGAAGACGGACUUCGGGAUGUAAACCUCUAUCAGCAAGGACGAAGCGAGAGUGACGGUACCUGCAGAAGAAGCACCGGCCAACUACGUGCCAGCAGCCGCAGUAACAC